rnacentral:rRNA from 1 species
CCCUUAGAUGUUCUGGGCCGCACGCGUGCUACACUGAGUAAAUCAAUGGGUAAGGGAACACGAAAGUGCAACCUAAUCUUGAAAUUUGCUCGUGAUGGGGAUCGACGGUUGCAAUUUUCCGUCGUGAACGAGGAAUACCUUGUAGGCGCGUGUCGUCAUCACGCGCCGAAUACGUCCCUGCCCUUUGUACACACCGCCCGUCGCUCCUACCGAUUGAGUGAUCCGGUGAGGCUCUGGGACCUGGACGGAAAGAGCGUUUCGCUUGUUCUGUUUGGGAAACUUGGUCGAACCUUAUCAUUUAGAGGAAGGAGAAGUCGUAACA